rnacentral:misc_RNA from 1 species
GAUGAAGAACGCAGCGAAAUGCGAUACUUGGUGUGAAUUGCAGAAUCCCGUGAACCAUCAAGUCUUUGAACGCAAGUUGCGCCCGAAGCCAUUAGGCCGAGGGCACGCCUGCCUGGGCGUCACACGUCGUUGCCCCCCCAUCUACUCCUUCGGGAUUGCGGGGGGCGGAUGAUGGCCUCCCGUGCGCCUUGUCGCGCGGUUGGCAUAAAUGCCAAGUCCUCGGCGACGCACGCCACGACAAUCGGUGGUUGCGAAACCUCGGUUGCCCGUCGUGUGCGGUCGUCGCGCAUCGAGGGCUCGAAAAAAUUGUCGGGCUCCGGCUCGGCUUUCAACGCGACCCCAGGUCAGGCGGGGUUACCCGCUGAAUUUAAGCAUAUCAAUAAGCGGAGGA